rnacentral:rRNA from 1 species
AGAUCGAACUGAAGAGUUUGAUCCUGGCUCAGAUUGAACGCUGGCGGCAUGCUUUACACAUGCAAGUCGAACGGACUUUGGGGCUUGCUCCAAAGUUAGUGGCGAACGGGUGAGUAAUGCAUCGGAACGUACCCAGUUGUGGGGGAUAACGUAGCGAAAGUUACGCUAAUACCGCAUACGACCUACGGGUGAAAGCAGGGGAUCGCAAGACCUUGCGCAAUUGGAGCGGCCGAUGUCGGAUUAGCUAGUUGGUGAGGUAAAGGCUCACCAAGGCAACGAUCCGUAGCUGGUUUGAGAGAAUGACCAGCCACACUGGGACUGAGACACGGCCCAGACUCCUACGGGAGGCAGCAGUGGGGAAUCUUGGACAAUGGGCGAAAGCCUGAUCCAGCAAUGCCGCGUGAGUGAAGAAGGCCUUCGGGUUGUAAAGCUCUUUCGGACGGGAAGAAAUCGCAUCCGCUAAUACCGGGUGUGGAUGACGGUACCGUAAGAAGAAGCACCGGCUAACUACGUGCCAGCAGCCGCGGUAAUACGUAGGGUGCGAGCGUUAAUCGGAAUUACUGGGCGUAAAGCGUGCGCAGG